UUCGGAUGAAGAUCUUGGUGACUGAGUGGCGGACGGGUGAGUAACGCGUGAGUAACCUGCCUUUCACAGGGGGAUAACGUUUGGAAACGAACGCUAAUACCGCAUAACACAGCAGAGUCGCAUGGCUCAGCUGUCAAAGAUUUUAUCGGUGAAAGAUGGACUCGCGUCCGAUUAGGUAGUUGGUGAGGUAACGGCUCACCAAGCCGACGAUCGGUAGCCGGACUGAGAGGUUGAACGGCCACAUUGGGACUGAGACACGGCCCAGACUCC
rnacentral:rRNA from 1 species